CCUACGGGUGGCUGCAGUGGGGAAUAUUGGGCAAUGGGCGCAAGCCUGACCCAGCAACGCCGCGUGAAGGAAGAAGGCUUUCGGGUUGUAAACUUCUUUUGUUAGGGAAGAGUAGAAGACGGUACCUGACGAAUAAGCCACGGCUAACUACGUGACAGCAGCCGCGGUCAUACGUAGGUGGCAAGCGUUGUCCGGAUUUACUGGGUGUAAAGGGCGUGUAGCCGGGUUGGCAAGUCAGUUGUGAAAUGCUGCGGCUUAACCGCAGAACUGCAUUUGAAACUGUUGGUCUUGAGUACUGGAGAGGCAGAUGGAAUUCGUGGUGUAGCGGUGAAAUGCGUAGAUAUUAGGAGGAACACCAGUGGCGAAGGCGGUCUGCUGGACAGCAACUGACGGUGAGGCGCGAAAGCGUGGGGAGCAAACAGGAUUAGAUACCCCUGUAGUC
rnacentral:rRNA from 1 species